GAGUAACUCACCCCAUGAGUAGGGGGGCGCAUAAGAAGCAGCUAGAGUAACUCUACUCUGUCAUCAAUAAACAAUCUGACAGCACAAAAACUAAAGCUAGAGGAUUGAAAAUAGAUGAGAAACCUUUUCUCUAAUGUAGAGGCCAGAGCAGCUACAAAACACAGUACUUGUUCUUUUUAAGAGCCUCGACUGGAGAAGAAAGCUCCACUGCAUUUUUUUUU